rnacentral:rRNA from 1 species
GGGGGGGGGGGGCGGGGGGCGGGGGGGGGGGGGGGCGGGGGGGCGGACGGGGAGCGUGCGUCUGUGAGGUGGGCGGGGGACGGGUGAGUAACACGUGGAUAACCUACCUAUAAGACUUGGAUAACUGCGGGACAGCGGAGCUAAUACCGGAUCAUAGUGUGAACCGCAUUGUUCAAGAGUGAGGGACGGUCUUGCUGUCACUUCUAGCUGGAUCCGCGCUGCCUUAGCUAGUUGGUUAGGUAACGGCUUACCAAGGUACCGAUGCAGAGCCGACCUGAGAGGGUGAUCGGCCACCAUGGAACUGAGACACGGUCCAGACUCCAACGGGAGGCAGCAGUAGGGAAUCUUCCGCAAUUGGCGAAAGCCUGACGGAGCAACGCCGCGUGAGUGAUGAAGGUCUUCGGAUCGUAAAACUCUGUUAUUAGGGAAGAACAUAUGUGUAAGUAACUGUGCACAUCUUGACGGUACCUAAUCAGAAAGCCACGGCUAACUACGUG